rnacentral:rRNA from 1 species
AGAUGGACCCGCGCCGUAUUAGCUAGUUGGUAAGGUAACGGCUUACCAAGGCGACGAUACGUAGCCGACCUGAGAGGGUGAUCGGCCACACUGGAACUGAGACACGGUCCAGACUCCUACGGGAGGCAGCAGUAGGGAAUCUUCCGCAAUGGGCGAAAGCCUGACGGAGCAACGCCGCGUGAGUGAUGAAGGUCUUCGGAUCGUAAAACUCUGUUAUUAGGGAAGAACAUACGUGUAAGUAACUAUGCACGUCUUGACGGUACCUAAUCAGAAAGCCACGGCUAACUACGUGCCAGCAGCCGCGGUAAUACGUAGGUGGCAAGCGUUAUCCGGAAUUAUUGGGCGUAAAGCGCGCGUAGGCGGUUUUUUAAGUCUGAUGUGAAAGCCCACGGCUCAACCGUGGAGGGUCAUUGGAAACUGGAAAACUUGAGUGCAGAAGAGGAAAGUGGAAUUCCAUGUGUAGCGGUGAAAUGCGCAGAGAUAUGGAGGAACACCAGUGGCGAAGGCGACUUUCUGGUCUGUAACUGACGCUGAUGUGCGAAAGCGUGGGGAUCAAACAGGAUUAGAUACCCUGGUAGUC